rnacentral:rRNA from 13 species
UGUGUAGGAUAGGUGGGAGGCUAUGAGCCGGUGUCGCUAGGCAUCGGGGAGCCGUUGUUGAAAUACCACCCUUCACUUGCUUAGGAUCUAACCCAUUUUAUGGGAACAUUGUUUGGUGGGCAGUUUGACUGGGGUGGUCGCCUCCAAAAGAGUAUCGGAGGCUUCUAAAGGUACCCUCAGCACGCUUGGUAACCGUGCGCAGAGUGCAAUGGCAUAAGGGUGCUUGACUGAGAGACCUACAAGUCGAUCAGGUACGAAAGUAGAGCAUAGUGAUCCGGUGGUUCCGCAUGGAAGGGCCAUCGCUCAAAGGAUAAAAGGUACGCCGGGGAUA